rnacentral:rRNA from 1 species
UACGGAGGGUGCGAGCGUUGUCCGGAAUCACUGGGCGUAAAGGGCGCGUAGGCGGCCUGAUAAGUAGGGGGUGAAAUCCUGCGGCUUAACCGCAGGGCUGCCUUCUAAACUGUCAGGCUAGAGCACGGUAGAGGCAGAUGGAAUUCCCGGUGUAGCGGUGGAAUGCGUAGAGAUCGGGAAGAACAUCAGUGGCGAAAGCGCUCUGCUGGACUGCAACUGACACUGAGGGACGAAAGCUAGGGGAGCGAAAGGG